rnacentral:lncRNA from 1 species
AGCGAGUCGAUGAUCUGGGACGCCAGUUGGUAGGGAAGGUCGAGGAUAUAGCUGAUGAUGUUAGAGUGCUACGUGGGCAUUUAGGAAACCUUGAGGAUGAGGUCAUAGCACUCUGAGGUGGUAUAGCAGGCAGACGAUGGGGGUGACGACUAGGAGGGUGAACGAGAGGAGAAUAAAGAUGGGGUCACCAUCAGUCGUGGUCGGAGGAUGCAUUGGAAUUCUUUUUUCAGUCCAUGGAGGAUAGGGUGACCCCGAGGGUAGAUGAGGGGAUAGCCCCGUUGGGGACGGGAGCGACGAUCGAGGACGUGGUGCUGAUGAGGGCGUAUGAGGGGGUCGAGAAGGUAGUAAUGACAGGGCAGAUGAGGGGGUGGGCCUAUCAAGGAUGGGAGCUAUGGUUGAGGAGGUGGUGACGACGAUGACAGAGGAUGAGGUGGCGGUUGUCUAGCGGAGGAGAGGACGAUCCAAGAGGUGGACGAGGGGAGGACGACCAUCGUGACUGGAGCGAAAAAGAGUGCUGUUGAUGUGGCGAAGCUGGUGGUAGACAUGAGGCCGAGAGUGACGUCAUAGUACAUUAUCUCUCCCUUCACGGCUGAGACAAAGAAGAGUAGGUUCGUCGAUGGGACGAUCCCCAACCUAUUUCGGGAGGUGGACCAUGCUAAAUGGAAAGCGUUCGAGACAGAGUAGAGAAGAAUGUUGGCCGGGUUAGUAUUUAUGAUAUUAGUAAAGUACGUUGAGUUACUCGUAUAUGCUUCUUUAACACUUCUCUAUUUCUUUUUUCAGGACCAGCCGUACGAUUGGUACUGUGACGAUCUCCG